rnacentral:lncRNA from 1 species
CCCACUUGAGGGAAAUUUUCUACUAUCCUACAAAACCCUGCGCUUGGAGGCCCAACACGAGUCUACAAGAAGAAGGUUGUGUGGUAGACAUCACACAUUCUGCAACAUAGCGUGCAAUAUCUUGUUUCAUAUUUGGCCACCAGAAUCUUUGACAUAUGUCUGCUAGUUCUCGAGCUUGCGUUGGUUUUUCCCUUGAAUAGGAAAGGGUGAUGCAGCAAAGUAGCGACAAGUAUUUCCUUCAGUUUGAGAACCAAGGUA